CCUACGGGAGGCAGCAGUGGGGAAUAUUGCACAAUGGGCGCAAGCCUGAUGCAGCGACGCCGCGUGAGCGAUGAAGGCCGUCGGGUCGUAAAGCCCUGUCCUAAGGGAAGAAUAAUGACGGUACCUUAGGAGGAAGCCCCGGCUAACUACGUGCCAGCAGCCGCGGUAAUACGUAGGGGGCGAGCGUUAUCCGGAAUCACUGGGCGUAAAGGGUGCGUAGGCGGCCCUGCAAGUCAGGAGUUAAAUCCCUCGGCUCAACCGAGGUCAGCUCUUGAAACUGUAGGGCUUGAGUGCAGGAGAGGAGAGCGGAAGUCCUAGUGUCGCGGUGAAAUGCGUGGAUAGUAGGAGGAAUACCAGUGGCGAAGGCGGCUCUCUGGACUGCAACUGAAGCUGUGGAACGAAAGCGGGGGGAGCGAACAGGAUUAGAUACCCGUGUAGUC
rnacentral:rRNA from 1 species